rnacentral:lncRNA from 1 species
AAGCACACCUCUGAACUUGAUUUAGGGUCUGAAAUGGACGUAUCUCACGUGGUGCAAAACGGUUUACGCUGGAAUCGAAACACGGAACCGGCAGGUUGAGGUUCGAGGGCGUUUCAUGGGGCUGCGGUUUUUCCCCUCUGAGCUAGAAGCGGAUGUACGCAGUGGAUGACUGGAAACGAAGACGCAAGCAAUGUGAAUAUCACCGUGCGUUUCGGGCUGUCCUCGAAUGCGGGCCAGGAAAAAGACUGUUUCUUCCUGCGUACCGCGAGAAGCGCCGGCCAGCUCACUUUUUGCCAAGCAGCAGCGACGUGAGAGAAGCGCAAUAGCAAAGUGUCUCGCUUUUGGAACGCGUGAAAUGGAGCCAGCUUACAGAGGGGAGGAAUGCCAGAAAACGCGACAGAGGGGUACUGUAGCCGAACACCCCGGUAGAGUGUCGUCGGCAUGGUGGUGGCGCCUCAAGCAGUUUCCCUCGCACCAAGUGGCCAUUUAAGAAUCCUACGAUGGCAACGCAGGGAUGUCGCUGCGCACGGAUCUGGCUUUAGGGCAAGGUACCUGUCGUUUCGACUGCCGUUUCUCAUUCCUCUAAAUACAGAGCCUUUUUUCUCGUUCCGUGUCUCCGUAAGAACGGGAGUAAUCUGACGCCAGAUUCAUGCGGCAUCAUCAGUGUCGUAUGAGGCUUGGAAAGCCAUUGCUAACGGUUCGGAAGAUUGUAUUCGCAGCCCCAACGCGACGCUGCCACUGCAUACGUCCUCGCCGCGC